GUAUGCUGCAUAUUAUUGGAUACAUGUAAACUUAUGCAUCACUAUCAGGUACUAAGAACGUAGCCCGGGAGGGUCGGAACAUAACAUGGUUCCCUGAACUCUCUGAUAAACGUAAGUGAAGUUACUGAUAAAUGUCUGUUGGCGCAGUAUCAAGAUACGAACUGUGGGUGAUCAUUCUAACCUCGUCUCCCUGUCGUAUGGCUCACUAUAUACCCAGCCGUGCUCAGAUUACCAACAAGAAGGCAGAAGAGUGCACUACGUCUUCAAGAAUGCGGAUGCUUUCUGUCGGGUAAUGCCAAAAUACUUGCUGUCAUGUAGUGUCGGGACACGUUCUGGAUAGAGUACCAGUACUUGUCUAAACGUAAGACAAGACUUUUCUCAUGAGAAUGCAACUGGCCGUACUUGACUGGAACGAGAAUGUGAAUCGUGCCCACACCAAAAGUGACAGGCGUACUGACAUGAAAGUUCUCGUGAGUAAGUCUUUUCAUUUUGCGGGUAUGCUGAGUAUGUCGCAAGGAACGGCGUCGAUUUGAGGUACUCUUCGUCUCCCCACAGACCCACGUCCUGGAGCAACCUCUUUUCAUCAUUUUCGGUCCACAAGCAAUCACACACGGCCCACAGAGGCAGUGUGGACAGCAGUCCCUGUAAGACAGCUGAGUUCUUAUCAUUUUCAAACUAGGCGCCUUUUUGUUAGCAAUGAUUUUACUGCUAAUUUUACUGCUACUUUCCUUUUAUACCGCAGCGGGGGCUGCAUGAUCGCGAUUGCUUGCAACAAACGCGUACUGUUUUAUAAACGCGACCACUUCACCAGGCAGUGGGCUCACAUCAAUAGUUUGGUAAACAAUGUGAUGCACUUGGGAAGGAAAGGAAACCCAGGUCCUCCAUUGAUAACCCCCGCCAGAUGGCUGACUACCACAGAAGUAGUCGUGAGAGCAGAGCAGCGACGUCUCCUUCAUCUCCAAACAUAACAAUCGAAAAUACUGGCCCCCCACCCUUCUUCCCCAUGGAUUUGAUUACCGCUUUUUAGGAUCAAAAGUAAACUGCGCAACAGAAUCACCCUAUAUUGAAACAAGCGGUGUGCACGUAGAACGCUCUCUAGCGACAAACCAGAUUCGGCAUGAGAGCUGAUACGCUAAACAACGCUACAAAUACCUCUCCCCUGUACUGUCUCCCCUGUACUGUCUCCUUUUCAGGCUAGUCAUUCUCGUCGUCCAAGAGCUGAAAUCAAUGGGAGUACAUGCUUAGCAACAAAGAACAGGACACCCCGCCUGUAGCACA